ensembl:misc_RNA Metazoa_SRP Metazoan signal recognition particle RNA
GCUAGGAGUGGUGGUGCGUGCCUGUAGUCCCAGCUAUGCAGAAGGCUGAGGUGGGAGGAUCUCUUGAGUCCAGGAGUUCUGGGCUGCAGUGCACUAUGCUGAUCAGGUGUCUGCACCAAGUUUGGCAUCAAUAUGGUGACAUCCAGAAGUGGGGACCACCAGGUUGCCUAAGGAGGGAUGAAUAGGCCCAAGUUGGAAAUGGAGCAGGUCAGAACUCCUGUGCUGAUCUGUAUUUGGGAAGAAGCACACUAAACUCAACAUAAACCCAGAGAUGGAAA